rfam:Oryza brachyantha chromosome 3, whole genome shotgun sequence.
AAUAAGAUCAUUUUUCGUUUUUCCGUGUCUAAAGUUUGAACAUUCGUCUUAUUUGAAAAAAAAUUACGAUUAAUAUUUUUUUCUGGCUAGAUAAUAAAACAUGAAUAAUACUUUGUGCGUGACUAAUUUUUUUAAGUUUUUAUACAAAAUUUUUAGAUAAGACGAAUGGUCAAACGUUGGACAUGGAAAAACAAAAAAUGAUCUUAUU